CUUAUAAAAUCUGCUAGAGGACACCAGUACAUAUUCGUAAAAGUAGACUAUGCUACUCAUUACCCUGAGGCAAUACCUAUGCAUACAACUUCAGCAAAAGCUAUUGCUAAGGAACUUAUAUUGAUGUUCAAUAGGGUUGGGAUUCCCAAGGAAAUAUUGACAGAUCAUGGAACUUCAUUUAUGUCCCGAGUCACAAAAGAAUUAUACAAUUUCCUUCAUAUAAUGCAGCUGUAAACCUCACUAUAUAACCCACAAACAGAUGGUUGGGUGGAGA